CCCAGCAGGGCCUUGGAUAUGUACACAGUUAAGGAUUACCAAUAAGAGGUUUAUGUUUAAGCAUACAAGACUCCAGGACUCUCCAUGAACCACAAAACAAUCUUUACAACACCAGCCAGUUUGACAGGAGAGAAGAUAAAUGUGUAAGGUCUAAGUGUUGGAACAUGAUAAAAAGUUAAGAUAAUAAGAGCUAAGGAAAGUUGGUUGAAAGAAUGCAAAGGAUCAAGACUGGGAUAAGAACAUGGCUCGGUCAAGAAAUAACACUUAUACAAAAACAAAAGGAGAUAAGUGAGCGUCCAGCAGCAGAAAAUCACCCUGACAUCUUCAGGAGAGGAGAGAAAAUCAACAGAAAAGAGGGAUAAAAAGCAACUGAUGAAGUUCAAAAGU